UACGUAGGGUGCAAGCGUUGUCCGGAAUUAUUGGGCGUAAAGAGCUCGUAGGCGGUUUGUCGCGUCUGCUGUGAAAACCCGAGGCUCAACCUCGGGCCUGCAGUGGGUACGGGCAGACUAGAGUGCGGUAGGGGAGACUGGAAUUCCUGGUGUAGCGGUGAAAUGCGCAGAUAUCAGGAGGAACACCGAUGGCGAAGGCAGGUCUCUGGGCCACUACUGACGCUGGAGGAGCGAAAGGCCGUGGGGAGCGAACAGG
rnacentral:rRNA from 1 species